CAACUACUCCCUCUGUUCCAAAUUUCUUGUCUUAGAUUUGUCUAGAUACGGAUAUAUCUAAUACUAAAAUGUGACUUGAUACAUCCGUAUCUAGACAAAUCUAAGACAAGAAUUUUGGGAUGGAGGGAGUACUUU
rnacentral:pre_miRNA from 1 species